rnacentral:rRNA from 1 species
UACGGAAGGGGCAAGCGUUGUUCGGAAUCAUUGGGCGUAAAGGGCGCGUAGGCGGUCUUGUGUGUCUGCUGUGAAAGCAUGCGGCUCAACCGUAUAGGGUCGGUAGAAACUGCAAGACUCGAGGCUGGGAGGGGCUGGUGGAAUUCCCUGUGUAGCGGUGAAAUGCGUAGAUAUAGGGGAGAACACUCGUGGCGAAGGCGGCCAGCUAGACCAGUCCUGACGCUGAGGCGCGACAGCGUGGGGAGCAAACAGGAUUAGAUACCCUGGUAGUCCACGCCGUAAACUAUGGGCACUAGGUGUUGGCGGUAUUAACUCCGUCAGUGCCGGAGCUAACGCAGUAAGUGCCCCGCCUGGGGAGUACGGUCGCAAGGCUGAA